rnacentral:rRNA from 1 species
AUUGAACGCUGGCGGCAGGCCUAACACAUGCAAGUCGAGCGGAUGAAGGGAGCUUGCUCCUGGAUUCAGCGGCGGACAGGUGAGUAAUGCCUAGGAAUCUGCCUGGUAGUGGGGGAUAACGUCCGGAAACGGGCGCUAAUACCGCAUACGUCCUGAGGGAGAAAGUGGGGGAUCUUCGGACCUCACGCUAUCAGAUGAGCCUAGGUCGGAUUAGCUAGUUGGUGGGGUAAAGGCCUACCAAGGCGACGAUCCGUAACUGGUCUGAGAGGAUGAUCAGUCACACUGGAACUGAGACACGGUCCAGGCUCCUACGGGAGGCAGCAGUGGGGAAUAUUGGACAAUGGGCGAAAGCCUGAUCCAGCCAUGCCGCGUGUGUGAAGAAGGUCUUCGGAUUGUAAAGCACUUUAAGUUGGGAGGAAGGGCAGUAAGUUAAUACCUUGCUGUUUUGACGUUACCAACAGAAUAAGCACCGGCUAACUUCGUG